AUGGUUGAACUUGAAAGGCUUGUCAUGUUUCCUACUUUUUAUCGCCUAAGUGAGUUGGCACUGCUACUACCGGUAGCAACGGCAAUAGUUGAAAGGGUCUUCUAAUCAAUGAAAAUCAUCAAGACUGAGUUGCGCAGCAAGACGACCGGUGGCUGGCUUAAUGGCUUGAUGGUUUGUUAUAUUGAGUGAGAGAUCUUCAAAAGUAUUGAUCUUCGUAAAAUUAAGAAAGAUUUUUAG
rnacentral:rRNA from 1 species